rnacentral:rRNA from 1 species
UACGGAGGGGGCUAGCGUUGUUCGGAAUUACUGGGCGUAAAGCGCACGUAGGCGGCUUGGUAAGUUAGAGGUGAAAUCCCAGGGCUCAACCUUGGAACUGCCUUUGAAACUCCCGGUCUUGAGGUCGAGAGAGGUGAGUGGAAUUCCGAGUGUAGAGGUGAAAUUCGUAGAUAUUCGGAGGAACACCAGUGGCGAAGGCGGCUCACUGGCUCGAUACUGACGCUGAGGUGCGAAAGCGUGGGGAGCAAACAGG